ensembl:snRNA
GUGUUGUAUGAAAGGAGAGAAGGUUAGCAUUCCCCUUGACAAGGAUGGAAGAGGCCCCUGGGCCUGACAACACGCAUAUGGUUAAGGCAUUGCUACCUACUGUGUGGCAUCUAACCACUGCUUUUU